rnacentral:rRNA from 1 species
GAUGAACGCUGGCGGCGUGCCUAAUACAUGCAAGUCGAGCGAACAGACGAGGAGCUUGCUCCUCUGACGUUAGCGGCGGACGGGUGAGUAACACGUGGAUAACCUACCUAUAAGACUGGGAUAACUUCGGGAAACCGGAGCUAAUACCGGAUAAUAUAUUGAACCGCAUGGUUCAAUAGUGAAAGACGGUUUUGCUGUCACUUAUAGAUGGAUCCGCGCCGCAUUAGCUAGUUGGUAAGGUAACGGCUUACCAAGGCAACGAUGCGUAGCCGACCUGAGAGGGUGAUCGGCCACCCUGGAGCUGAGACACGGUCCAGACUCCUACGGGAGGCAGCAGUAGGGUAUCUUCCGCAAUGGGCGAAAGCCUGACGGAGCAACGCCGCGUGAGUGAUGGAGGUCUUCGGAUCGUAAAGCUCUGUUAUUAGGGAAGAACAAAUGUGUAAGUAACUAUGCACGUCUUGACGGUACCUAAUCAGAAAGCCACGGCUAACUACGUG